ensembl:lncRNA
GUAAAGGUAGAAGAUUCUGUAUGGGAUCUGGCCUUAAAUUAAAUGGAAGGAUUUUUUUUUUGGCUUCUGGAUCCCGUUUUGAUGGAAUCCAUUAAUCAGUAGUAUAUUUCCUCUUUCUUAUUUCCUCAUUUAGCUCAUCUACACCUUUUCCAAAGGGACAAAAAGGUACCCAAAAUAAGUCAGUGAGACAGUUCCCACCAGUUCAAAAAUCAGAACUAUCUACCUUGGUCCACUGAUCAUCCCAAACAUUGGCAACAAAUGCCUCUUUCUUUACAGGCAUGUAUUAGCUGUUUUGGUGAUUUGGGAUCUCAGUUUCUUCUUCAAUCAAUAGCAUAAUAUUUGUAAAGCACUUGGCACAAUGUGGAACAAUGGCACUAGAUGGUAGACAGUUCUGACAUUCCAGGUUCUGUGUUCUAAGUUCCCCUCCAGUUAUGACAUUCUACAUUGAAGGUUCCCUUCCAACACUGACAUUUUCUAGCUCUAUGAACCGUAGGACCAACUCACAUGCCAUUUCUAACAGGAAGCCUUUACAUAUUGUUUCCCUCCAAGUAGAAUGUAUAUCUUUGAAGUAAUCAUCCCUUUGUAAAACUGGCCAAAUGGUGGGCAACAGUAGAGGGAACUCACCUGGAAUGGAGGCCCAGAUGGUGGUAUUAAAGAAGAGACAUCCCAACCCAAGAAACCCGAGUGGGAAUGUAGUAACUUGAUUCUAGAAUAGUGGGACAAGAGACAUUCUCAAGACAACUCCAAAAGGUAUCUACAAUUGGAUUUGUACCGUACCUUUCAAUGGACACUUCUGAUGGAAGUCCCUUCUGUUUUUGUUUUUUUAAAUCCUUACCUUCUGUCUUAGAAUCAACACUAAGUAUCAGCUCCAAGGCAAAAGAGGGCAAGGCAAUUAGGAUUAAGUGACUUGCCCAGGGUCACACAGCUAGGAAGUGUUUGUAGCUCUAUUUGAAUCCAGGUCUUUCCAACACGAGACCUGGAGCUCUAGCCACUGCAUUGCCUAGCUGUUUCAUCCUUUCCCUAUGAGGUGACAUAAUGCAUGGAACACUUGUCUCCAAGAUUAGACCCUGCUUACUAGCUAAUGGAAUCCUGAGUAAGUCAUAACUUCUCUUGUCCUCAAUUUCCAAAGCUGUAAAAUGGGGAUAAAAACAACAGCUAGCUACCUCAUAGGUUUUUUUGUGAAUAUUAAAUACCUUAAACAGUCCCUUACAAAUCUUGAAGCACUAUAUAAAAUUAGCUUUUAUUGUUGUUGUUGUUCUUGCUGUACUUAAUAGGGUUUUAUUGGGUCCUUCUCCAGGCCAUGGUCACCUUUUUCCUCUGGUCCAGGGAAGCUAGUUGAGAUCACGGAUUUCUAUCUGUUAAGAGUUUUGGAGGUGGGGCAAAGAGGGAAGGAAACUUCUUUAGAGGUGAUUCCAAGAACUAAUUUAAAAUGGCAUCCCAGUGGCGAGAGGUACAAAGGUCAUUCUCGACAUAGCAGGUGAUGUGAACUGGUAAUGCAACACUGGCUUUUUUCUUUAGAAUUUACUCUCUGGCAACAUUUUCUUUCUUCUUAAUCUUGUUUUGAUUAGUUUA